rnacentral:rRNA from 1 species
GAUGAACGCUGGCGGCGUGCCUAAUACAUGCAAGUCGAGCGAACAGAUGAGGAGCUUGCUCCUCUGACGUUAACGGCGGACGGGUGAGUAACACGUGGAUAACCUACCUAUAAGACUGGGAUAACUUCGGGAAACCGGAGCUAAUACCGUAUAAUAUAUUGAACCGCAUGGUUCAAUAUUGAAAGACGGUUUUGCUGUCACUUAUAGAUGGAUCCCCGCCGCAUUAGCUAGUUGGUAAGGUAACGGCUUACCAAGGCAACGAUGCGUAGCCGACCUGAGAGGGUGAGCGGCCAAAAUGGAACUGAGACACGGUCCAGAAGCAUAAGGGAGGCAGAAGUAGGGAAUCUUCAGAAAUGGGCGAAAGCUUGACGGAGCAACGCCGCGUGAGUGAUGAAGGUCUUCGGAUCGUAAAACUCUGUUAUUAGGGAAGAACAAAUGUGUAAGUAAAUAUGCACGUCUUGAAGGUACCUAAUCAGAAAGCCACGGCUAAAUACGAG